rnacentral:rRNA from 1 species
GGUUAAGCGACUAAGCGUACACGGUGGAUGCCCUGGCAGUCAGAGGCGAUGAAGGACGUGCUAAUCUGCGAUAAGCGUCGGUAAGGUGAUAUGAACCGUUAUAACCGGCGAUUUCCGAAUGGGGAAACCCAGUGUGAUUCGUCACACUAUCAUUAACUGAAUCCAUAGGUUAAUGAGGCGAACCGGGGGAACUGAAACAUCUAAGUACCCCGAGGAAAAGAAAUCAACCGAGAUUCCCCCAGUAGCGGCGAGCGAACGGGGAGGAGCCCAGAGCCUGAAUCAGUGUGUGUGUUAGUGGAAGCGUCUGGAAAGGCGCGCGAUACAGGGUGACAGCCCCGUACACAAAAAUGCACAUGCUGUGAGCUCGAUGAGUAGGGCGGGACACGUGGUAUCCUGUCUGAAUAUGGGGGGACCAUCCUCCAAGGCUAAAUACUCCUGACUGACCGAUAGUGAACCAGUACCGUGAGGGAAAGGCGAAAAGAACCCCGGCGAGGGGAGUGAAAAAGAACCUGAAACCGUGUACGUACAAGCAGUGGGAGCACGCUUAGGCGUGUGACUGCGUACCUUUUGUAUAAUGGGUCAGCGACUUAUAUUCUGUAGCAAGGUUAACCGAAUAGGGGAGCCGAAGGGAAACCGAGUCUUAACUGGGCGUUAAGUUGCAGGGUAUAGACCCGAAACCCGGUGAUCUAGCCAUGGGCAGGUUGAAGGUUGGGUAACACUAACUGGAGGACCGAACCGACUAAUGUUGAAAAAUUAGCGGAUGACUUGUGGCUGGGGGUGAAAGGCCAAUCAAACCGGGAGAUAGCUGGUUCUCCCCGAAAGCUAUUUAGGUAGCGCCUCGUGAAUUCAUCUCCGGGGGUAGAGCACUGUUUCGGCAAGGGGGUCAUCCCGACUUACCAACCCGAUGCAAACUGCGAAUACCGGAGAAUGUUAUCACGGGAGACACACGGCGGGUGCUAACGUCCGUCGUGAAGAGGGAAACAACCCAGACCGCCAGCUAAGGUCCCAAAGUCAUGGUUAAGUGGGAAACGAUGUGGGAAGGCCCAGACAGCCAGGAUGUUGGCUUAGAAGCAGCCAUCAUUUAAAGAAAGCGUAAUAGCUCACUGGUCGAGUCGGCCUGCGCGGAAGAUGUAACGGGGCUAAACCAUGCACCGAAGCUGCGGCAGCGACGCUGAUGCGUUGUUGGGUAGGGGAGCGUUCUGUAAGCCUGCGAAGGUGUGCUGUGAGGCAUGCUGGAGGUAUCAGAAGUGCGAAUGCUGACAUAAGUAACGAUAAAGCGGGUGAAAAGCCCGCUCGCCGGAAGACCAAGGGUUCCUGUCCAACGUUAAUCGGGGCAGGGUGAGUCGACCCCUAAGGCGAGGCCGAAAGGCGUAGUCGAUGGGAAACAGGUUAAUAUUCCUGUACUUGGUGUUACUGCGAAGGGGGGACGGAGAAGGCUAUGUUGGCCGGGCGACGGUUGUCCCGGUUUAAGCGUGUAGGCUGGUUUUCCAGGCAAAUCCGGAAAAUCAAGGCUGAGGCGUGAUGACGAGGCACUACGGUGCUGAAGCAACAAAUGCCCUGCUUCCAGGAAAAGCCUCUAAGCAUCAGGUAACAUCAAAUCGUACCCCAAACCGACACAGGUGGUCAGGUAGAGAAUACCAAGGCGCUUGAGAGAACUCGGGUGAAGGAACUAGGCAAAAUGGUGCCGUAACUUCGGGAGAAGGCACGCUGAUAUGUAGGUGAAGCGACUUGCUCGUGGAGCUGAAAUCAGUCGAAGAUACCAGCUGGCUGCAACUGUUUAUUAAAAACACAGCACUGUGCAAACACGAAAGUGGACGUAUACGGUGUGACGCCUGCCCGGUGCCGGAAGGUUAAUUGAUGGGGUUAGCGCAAGCGAAGCUCUUGAUCGAAGCCCCGGUAAACGGCGGCCGUAACUAUAACGGUCCUAAGGUAGCGAAAUUCCUUGUCGGGUAAGUUCCGACCUGCACGAAUGGCGUAAUGAUGGCCAGGCUGUCUCCACCCGAGACUCAGUGAAAUUGAACUCGCUGUGAAGAUGCAGUGUACCCGCGGCAAGACGGAAAGACCCCGUGAACCUUUACUAUAGCUUGACACUGAACAUUGAGCCUUGAUGUGUAGGAUAGGUGGGAGGCUUUGAAGUGUGGACGCCAGUCUGCAUGGAGCCGACCUUGAAAUACCACCCUUUAAUGUUUGAUGUUCUAACGUGGACCCGUAAUCCGGGUUGCGGACAGUGUCUGGUGGGUAGUUUGACUGGGGCGGUCUCCUCCUAAAGAGUAACGGAGGAGCACGAAGGUUGGCUAAUCCUGGUCGGACAUCAGGAGGUUAGUGCAAUGGCAUAAGCCAGCUUGACUGCGAGCGUGACGGCGCGAGCAGGUGCGAAAGCAGGUCAUAGUGAUCCGGUGGUUCUGAAUGGAAGGGCCAUCGCUCAACGGAUAAAAGGUACUCCGGGGAUAACAGGCUGAUACCGCCCAAGAGUUCAUAUCGACGGCGGUGUUUGGCACCUCGAUGUCGGCUCAUCACAUCCUGGGGCUGAAGUAGGUCCCAAGGGUAUGGCUGUUCGCCAUUUAAAGUGGUACGCGAGCUGGGUUUAGAACGUCGUGAGACAGUUC